rnacentral:rRNA from 1 species
GCUUUAGACGGUAGGGUAUUGGCCUACCGUGGCUAUGACGGGUAACGGGGAAUUAGGGUUCGAUUCCGGAGAGGGAGCCUGAGAAACGGCUACCACAUCUAAGGAAGGCAGCAGGCGCGCAAAUUACCCAAUCCUAAUACAGGGAGGUAGUGACAAGAAAUAACAAUACAGAGCCUUACGGUUUUGUAAUUGGAAUGAGUUAAGUAUAAACCCCUUAACAAGUAUCAAUUGGAGGGCAAGUCUGGUGCCAGCAGCCGCGGUAAUUCCAGCUCCAAUAGCGUAUAUUAAAGUUGUUGCAGUUAAAAAGCUCGUAGUUAAUUUUCUGUUAAUUUUUAUAUACAAUGCUACGGUAUUUAUAUAAUAUUAACAUAAUUCAUAUUACUUUUUAAGUAUAUGAAACUUUACUUUGAGAAAAUUAGAGUGCUUAAAGCAGGCUAUUGCCUUGAAUACUCCAGCAUGGAAUAAUAUUAAGGAUUUUUAUUCUUCUUAUUGGUUCUAGAAUAAAAAUAAUGAUUAAUAGGGACAGUUGGGGGCAUUUGUAUUUAACAGUCAGAGGUGAAAUUCUUAGAUUUGUUAAAGACAAACUACUGCGAAAGCAUUUGCCAAGGAUGUUUUCAUUAAUCAAGAACGAAAGUUAGGGGAUCGAAGACGAUCAGAUACCGUCGUAGUCUUAAC